AAAAACAUUUCUAUUAGAAAUCAUUAAUAGUAAAAUCUGCUCAAUGAUAAAUUAAAUAGCCGCAUUUGUGCUAAGGUAGCAUAAUCAUUUGUCUUUUAAUUAAAGACUAGUAUAAAAGAUUCAACUUUUAAAUUUAUAUUUAAUAUUUAUAUAUUAAAACUAUCUUAAAUGUAAAAAGACAUUUAUUCAAAAGAAAGACGAUAAGACCCUAUCGAACUUCACUUUAGUUUAACUGGGGUAGUUAAUUAAUUAUUACUUUAAUAUUAAUAAAAUUAAAACUUAGACCUAAUAAAAUUAAUUCAAUAAUCAAGUUACCGUAGGGAUAACAGCGUAAUAAAAUUUUUAAGAUCUUAUUUAAAAUGAAAAUUGCGACCUCGAUGUUGAUUUAAUUACCUAA
rnacentral:rRNA from 1 species